rnacentral:lncRNA from 10 species
CUAUUUUCCUUUUUUAAGGAUUGCUUGCCCUUGGAGCUGAGAUGCUAUGCAGGUAGACAAGGUAGACACCAGGGCUUUUCAAUGCUUUUAGAAAGAGCUGCUUCCCAGAUGAUUGCGAAGUUGAUCUCAAAAGACUUGGGAGCUGAGGAAGUGGAGUCGGGUGCUUACCCAGAACCUACAGAAUCAGUGUGGGAGAGAGUAGGGAAGGGAGUGAGAAGGACUAUGGGACAGAGACCUCCAUCUCCAGGCCCAGGUUGAGGGUGUUUGCUGAUCCCGCCUUCCAAAUUAUAGGUACAGUUUCCAUCCUGCAGGAGCAGUGACUCUAGAAAUACAUGCAAUUCACACAAAUAUUUUACAUCCAUGCCUCUUCGGCUUUCUAGGGGAGACGUUUCCCAAUCUAGGAGUUGCAGUUUUAAUGCCACGAAGUAAUCCUUUGAUAUCACUAUUUGAAAGAUGGAGAGAAAAACAACCAACCUUGUUCUGUAAAUCCAAAUUCCUAUAGUUCUCUUCUUUUAAGGGAGGACACACCUACAUAUGGUUAAAAGGAGAAAAGAAAACUGCCAUUUGGCCCCAGUGAUAUCAUCUACCAUUUUGAGGAAGGACAUUCCAGAGCAGAAGGCUAGAGACAGACAGUGGUUGCCUUUUUAUAAAGAAGCCCUUGGAAAAUGCAGCAUCAGCCAGAAUCUAAAUUUGUGAAAAUGGACCAACAGGAAAUUUCACCCCACGUCAGACAAACUUCAUAAGGGCGCUGUGGGGGACUCUAUUGCUCAGAGAGGCUUUUUAAGAAAAUUGCAACUUUUCGCCAGACCCCGAGUGUAUUGGGAAGUUGCACAAAGAUCGUCACACCCUUUCGUGGCUUCUCCUCCCUUGGUGGCAGCUUUGGAGGCAUAGCUCAAGCCUCAUCUUCUGGAAGUUUCCUCUUAAUCUUCUCUACUGGAGUGAUGUGCCCCUCCCCUGAACAGUGUUCAUUCUCUCCACCCAUCACCUGUAAUGUAGAUGUUGGCUAGAACAGACUCAGAGCAAGGAAUGUUGAAUGAAUGAAGAAAGGAAGGAAGGAACAAAUGAAUUAAGUAGAACUGGUUGGAGAAUUCCCUUUCGUUAUAUCUGAGUUACUGCCAUGAAGGCAGCUGUUAUGGGAAUGGUUCAUUAUUUUCCCCUUUG